UGGUGACUAACAAAUGUUCUCCGGCAUAUAUUUUUAGUGUCAGGGGGAGAAGAUGGAAAAUGAAAAAGACGAAUACACCCUUGAUGGAACUGUGGAUAACCACGGUCAACCUGCCGUGCGUGCAAGGACCGGAAGUGAAUCAAGGUCUAGCUACACUAGCCUUCUUUGGGGUUGGAGUCAAUUUAGUACUAUUUCUGACCAGAGUUAUGGGGCAAGACAAUGCUGAAGCAGCCAACAAUGUGAGCAAGUGGACAGGGACAGUUUAUAUCUUCUCCCUUUUGGGAGCUUUCCUCAGUGAUUCCUACUAGGGAAGAUACAAGACGUGUGCUAUUUUCCAAUCCAUUUUUGCAGCUGGACUGGUUUCACUUUCAUUGACUUCAUACAUUUUCUUAGUCAAGCCUAAUAUCUUCCCAACCAUUGGGAAGUAUGACGCUUGACGUGUAAGUUUGAGAAAAUACUACCCUAGCAUAGGUACCCCAUGGCUUCCCAAGAAUUACACUCUUCACUCCGGUGAUCUUGCAUCCCACAAAGGUGAAGCCCGUGUUUUCCCGAGCUACCAAUGAAAUGAUUGAAUACCUGAGAAGUGAAACUAACAUACUACGCGAACAAGUAGAUGAGUUGAGGAGUGAAAUGGCAUCUGUGAGGUCUGCACUCACGAGAAAGGCUUACACUUUUCAAUAAGAAUUAUGAAAAUAGUACAAAUGUCUACUUAACCUGGCAGCAGGUCUGCCAAAAAUGAAGAGAAGAUUCAAUACCAAAAGCUUUUGAUGGAAGAUAACCUAAAGUGUUAGCAUAAAUCAGGAACUGAUUAAUUCAGGUCAUGGUAGAAUUGUUAUAAUGUCCAUAGUCUUAUCUAUCUUUUCUGCAAGACAACUAGGCAGGUUAGUAUUACUUAAAAAAAAUGUUGGAUUUGUGGUAGAGUUUAUGUCAAUGCAGGUUGAAGAAAAUACCGGUGACUUCAAAGGUUGUUCUUGUUGUUGUUAUUGAAGCAUAAA